UUCCUACGGGGCGCAGCAGUGGGGAAUAUUGCACAAUGGGGGAAACCCUGAUGCAGCGACGCCGCGUGAGUGAGGAAGUAUUUCGGUAUGUAAAGCUCUAUCAGCAGGGAAGAAAAUGACGGUACCUGACUAAGAAGCCCCGGCUAACUACGUGCCAGCAGCCGCGGUAAUACGUAGGGAGCAAGCGUUAUCCGGAUUUAUUGGGUGUAAAGGGUGCGUAGACGGGAAAUUAAGUUAGUUGUGAAAUCCCUCGGCUUAACUGAGGAACUGCAACUAAAACUGAUUUUCUUGAGUGUUGGAGAGGA
rnacentral:rRNA from 1 species